UACGAAGGGGGCUAGCGUUGCUCGGAAUCACUGGGCGUAAAGCGCACGUAGGCGGGUCUGUAAGUCAGGGGUGAAAUCCUGGAGCUCAACUCCAGAACUGCCUUUGAUACUGCGGAUCUCGAGUCCGGGAGAGGUGAGUGGAACUCCGAGUGUAGAGGUGAAAUUCGUAGAUAUUCGGAAGAACACCAGUGGCGAAGGCGGCUCACUGGCCCGGUACUGACGCUGAGGUGCGAAAGCGUGGGGAGCAAACAGGG
rnacentral:rRNA from 1 species